GUCAAAUUGGGCUUAAAUUUCUUUAUUAUUUCAAGCAGAUGGUAUACUUUAGCCCCUGGGUAGCCGUCAAGCUGGAUAUGAGGGUUGUUGUGAGGGGGGAUUCUAGAGAUGUUGGAAUCCCCCAGUAUCAGGACUGGCUUGUCGGCUUUGAUGGUCCAGUCCUGUACUCUCCGGUGUGGUCUGGCGACGUGGCAGGUGGGCGUGAAUGGGGAUGGAAGGGAAGGAGUGAAUGGUGCCUGAAAAAAAGGAUGGUUAGGAAGGGGGGGAGGGGGAGGAGGGGGAGAAGGAAAGAGAAGAGGAGAGGGAGGGAGAAGGGGGGUAGGUGGGUAGGGAGUCCUGGGGAGGCUCGAGUCCAGAGCUGCAGGUGUGCUGGUCUCCAGAGGGGGCCCGCCAAGCAGCACGGCCCCGUCGGACUGGACACAGGAGGGUUCAGUGAGGUUUGCGGGUGCAGGCUGUUUGACCUUCCGGAUCCUUGUCAUCAUAUACCCUCCUGUGGUUGCGUGGUAUGCAGUCCGACGGAGUAUGCCGACCCGCAGAGCCCGAACAGGAACCAGCAACACCUGCAGGGGAAAGGCAGAGGGGGGGAGAAAAAAAAUUAAAGAAAGUGGUAGGGGGUGUGUGGACUCGAGCCUCCAACCACCUGUGUCGUGUACCACCCGGUGACUUGAAAGAAUUGCGUGUGGUGAGGGUGUCGUCUGCCCAUUUAAGACGAGUGGCGGGGGAGAUGAUGUGGCUAGGUUCAGUGCUCAGGGUUGCUGUGAAUUCAGAGGAGAGGUAAGAGGAGGGAUAGUGGGGGGUGUGGUAGCCGGAGUGGUCAGGGUCUGGGGAAAUGCCAGGAGGGGAGUGAUGGUUGGGGUCAGGAGAGGGGUAGUGGUGAAGGUCAGGGGUAAGAUGAGGGGCAGGGCUAGGAGGGGGGUGGUUGGAGUCAGGAGAGGGGCAGUGGUGAAGGUCAGGGGUAAGGUUGGGGUCAGGGUCAGGGGCUGGGGAAGGGAUAGGAGUGACCGGUGUGCAGGUAGGGGGUGUGCUUCGGGGACCUAGAAAAAGGGAAAGUCUGGUGGGGGAUUGUGCGCUGGGGAGGUGAGGGAACUCUUCCUCCGAGAUGGGAGGAAGGGGGGUGUACCACUGAC
rnacentral:lncRNA from 1 species